rnacentral:misc_RNA from 1 species
AUGGUUGCCAUCACAAUUCGUAACAUGGUUGCCAUCAAACUUUAUAUUAUGGUUGCCAACAAACUGCUUAUUAUGGUUGUCAUCAAACUUCAUAGUAUGGUUGCCAUCAAACAUAAUUAUGGUUGCCUUCAACUUUAUAUUACGGAUGUCAUCAAACUUAAUAGUAUGGUUGCCAUCACAGUUCGUAACAUGGUUGCCAUCAAACUUUAUAUUAUGGUUGCCAACAAACUGCUUAUUAUGGUUGUCAUCAAACUUCAUAUUAUGGUUGGCUGGCAUCAAACUACAUAUCAUGGUUGUCAUCAACAUUUAUAGUAUGAUUGUCAUCAAUCUUCAUAGUAUGGUUGCCAUCACAAUUUUAUAGUAUGGUUGUUAUCAAACUUCAUAUUAUAGUUGUCAUCAUAUUAUGGUUGUGAUCAAAAUGUCAUAGUAUGGUUGUCAUUAAACAUCAUAGCAAGGUUGCCAUGAAACUUUAUAUUAUGGUUAUCAUCAAACUUCAAAGUAGAGUUGCCAUCAAACUUCAUAUUAUUGUUGUAAUCAAAAGUUUAUAGUAUUGUUACCAUCGAACUUCAUAGUCACAAUUAGAAAAUUUCAACUUUCCCAUGCAUGUCACGUAAUUUCAAGUGAGAACCAAAGUUAAAAUAUACAACAUGCCGCUUGAAUAAACCCUAAAAUAUUGCCUUACACACACAUUUACGCAGCUGUAUUACAUCAAUAUUACUAGAUUGAUUCUCACGAAGUUAGGUCACUAGGUUGUGGUGGGUCUUUAAUACAUCAAGUAUUGUCGUACUGCUAUAUUGAUUCAAUAAUAUAUUAUGGUCUUGGCCUUGUACACUGUACUGUCAGUUUGUCAUGGAAAUACAAAGAAAUACAGUUAUUUUGUGGCGCGUCUUUAAAUAAAACAUUCCGACAAAGUCGCAAUACAAUUGGGCCAGAGUAGUGAUCUCUGGUGUGUUCAAAGCAAACUUAUCAACGUUGGACGACAACAGCGGACAACAGACACAAUGCGAUCAUACUAACUCACCCGGACUACCUUGUGUCACAUGCAAAGAGCAUUUCAGUAAAUUGUAAUGACGGUAUAGCAAAUAAUUUUGGCAAUAUGUAUAGCACAAAUUUUCUCUGACGGAAAGACGGACGGACACACAAAGCCUAAUGUAUACUCCGUACAACAAUGUGUCGGCAUAAUAAGUCAGACAUUAUCAUCAUUAUGACCAUGUUUUUUCCUACCGUACAUAACAUAAUCAAAUAAUACUGAGAUGGUCCCCUUGAACUAGGUUACAACAGUAUUUUGUGAAUUCUCAUACAGAUUUUCAAGUAUAGUGGACGCAACUUGACCCGAUGGUUGACCUUUGCAUUAUAAUACAUAAUGAGGCACAAUCUAUUAUUGAAAAGGAGUGUACAUAUACAUUGAUACAGCACUGUAUACAAAAUAAUUGCAUAUAAAUAUACACGGCUACCCUAAACACCCUUGAUUUCUAUAAUGAAAUUAUCGAUAUGAAUAAUCAGCCUAAGGUCAACCAUCGCGGUCAAGUUGCGACUACUAUAGAUAUACUUUGACCUUCAAAAAUGACCUUUGGGCGAGUUCAUUAACUAAGGUGGAUCUGGUAUUCGGAUCAUCUCGGCUAUUGAUUUACGUAAGAAAUAGGUAUAUAAUGUAAGAAAUUAACCGAGUUGCACAGCGUAUUGGUUAGUGUGAUUGUCCCUGAUACAUGGCUUGCACGCAACCUGUGGGUUCGAACCCCGACAGAAUUUCUUUUUAUUGUAUUAUGAAUCAUAAUUCAAAAAGUACGUAUCAUAUUUUAUUGCCUGACUUUAAUAUUUACUGUUUUAAAUUAUUUUUUCUUCAUUUUUCCCAUUCGUUUUCUUUUUAUAUUUUUUUCUCUCAAAAUUUAUUUCAUAUCCGAAAAAAAAAAUCAUUUCACAAACAAUGUUAAUUCUCAGAUUCGCUGGCAGUGUCGCUUUCUGAAUCGUCCGCGGAAUCAUCAACAUUAAUAACGGCCUUCGUGAAAAAAGCUGGACACUGUACAAUGUAGUUAUCAGAAAAGAAAAAAAGUCUUACAAUUCCGGGGUUCGAACCCACACCUAAACCUAAAACAUUGUAUGGGACGUUCACUCUAACCUACUGCGCUAGUGAGAUAAGUUUAGUACGUACGAUUGGUUGGUGUCUUUUAUGUAUAAAAUAUGUAUUCAGUAAACUAUAGCAACUCUUUACUUGGAUUAGUUCAAUAUUAAAAGUACAUUUACGCCCGAAUGCACAAUGUAUAUCUAUAUACAAAAGCUUGGGCACAGCUAACUAGUAAAUGUGUAGCGAAUUGUAACAUUCUUACAUUAUUGAUAAAAUUAUAAACGAACAUUAUACGAUAUAAGUUGCAAUAAGGAUAGAAUGUCUUCAUCAAAGAUUGUUGUUUUUCUGUGCACGUGCUUUAUAAUUGUUGCUGUUUUGUAUGGAUAUCGGUAUUUGAGUUUGUAUACGAUAUCAGGAUCGUUUGGGGAAGAUCUUACUACAGUGAACAACACAAAACAUUCCACUAGUCGUAUUUCUACAAACCCAAGUGAUCCAAAGUUUUACAAUAUCUUACUGGAAGAGGAGGCUUUGCGGUAUGGUCCCUGUAUUAACGAAAGCUAUGCUGCAUCUGCUAAAAACAGCAAAGUUAUUAUAUCUGAGGACAGCAGAAGUUGGAGCAGGUGGUUUAUAUCAAUGUUACUCGUAAGAAAACAGACAUGGGACUAUAUUUUAAGAAUGAGCCACUGAAACGAUGUUCGGACUACAACUUGUCACUCUUGUGGAAUACUGCUACACCUUCAGGGUUUUCUCUACAGAAUAAAUGGAUAUAUACGAGAUGUCAAUGUCUAAAUGAGAGCCUUUACAAGUCUUGCUUAACAAACAAGACAAUAUACUUGCUUGGAGACUCAACAUUACGACAGUGGUAUUAUAAUAUCAUCGAUAGGUUUAAAAGCGUUCGAGUAAAAGAAAAGUAAUAUAUACACAACUUUCAUAUAUUAAUAAGGGGUAUAAUACUCGAAUUAUUUGGAGUCCUCAUAGCAUGCCUAUAUUCCUGUCGUUCCAUUGGAGUUCUUUGCGUGACACGUUAUAUUCUAUAUCUAGGACGAAUUGACAAUAUACCGCAGGAAGAACAUGCUAUUGUUGUCUUUCAGCUAUAUAUGCACAUGUUGCGGUAUCAUCAUAGUGUCUUUCAACGAAGAAUGGAAAUCAUAAGAAACUCUGUAGAGAAAUGUUUGAAAAGAAAUAAGAACAUUGUAUUUAUGAUUAAAUCCCCGCAUACAUUUUUCUGAACCUGUAUUUGGUAAUCCUGUACUUGGUGAUUACCCGGGUAACGUAUUUAGUUAUAUCUUAUAUAAAGUAUUUCAGGGUUUGCACGACAAAGUUGUGUUACUCAAUAAUCGUGAUAUAACUUUGACCUAUCAAAACAAGAACACACAUCCAUCUGAAAGGAUUGUUAACGCUAUGGUUAAUCAAAUGUUGUGUCAUGCAUGUAAUGAACGGCGUUGAUAGGCAAGACCAACGAUAGAGCUGAAUGUUAUGAUUAGGAGAGUAAAAGUACAUUAAAAGCAGAAACAGUUAUUUCCAGUUUAUCUAUAUAUUUCAACAGUUACUGUAGAAACCAACUUUUAACUUGCGCCAAACUUUGAAUGCGAAUGAAGUUAGAAACCACAUAUCAAUCUUCCAUAAUUAUACAGUCAUACAUUACAGGGGCGGUAAUCGCUGCUCGGAGUUAGUUUUAACAGCCGUGACAUUAUUUCCCUAUAAUACUAUUAUUGUCGUAAUUUUCAUGUUAAAAGUGUUUAUAAACAGAUUUUUUCUAUAUGUGAAAUUUACAUAUACAAAUGUAUAUU